UUCGCUUCUCGGCCUUUUGGCUAAGAUCAAGUGUAGUAUCUGUUCUUAUCAGUUUAAUAUCUUAUACAUCCUCUAUAUGAGGGCUACAUAUUAUAUAGUCGUGGGCUGGAGGUUAGGGAACCAGC
ensembl:snRNA U2 U2 spliceosomal RNA